rnacentral:rRNA from 1 species
AACGAACGCUGGCGGCAUGCCUAACACAUGCAAGUCGAACGAGACCUUCGGGUCUAGUGGCGCACGGGUGCGUAACGCGUGGGAACCUGCCCUUAGGUUCGGAAUAACUCCCCGAAAGGGGUGCUAAUACCGGAUAAUGUCUUCGGACCAAAGAUUUAUCGCCUUUGGAUGGGCCCGCGUUGGAUUAGCUAGUUGGUAGGGUAAAAGCCUACCAAGGCGACGAUCCAUAGCUGGUCUGAGAGGAUGAUCAGCCACACUGGGACUGAGACACGGCCCAGACUCCUACGGGAGGCAGCAGUGGGGAAUAUUGGACAAUGGGCGAAAGCCUGAUCCAGCAAUGCCGCGUGAGUGAUGAAGGCCUUAGGGUUGUAAAACUCUUUUACCCGGGAUGAUAAUGACAGUACCGGGAGAAUAAGCUCCGGCUAACUCCGU